GCCGCCGUGGUGGAACUGGUAUACACAAGGGACUUAAAAUCCCUCGGGGGCAACCCCUUGUCGGUCCGAGUCCGACCGGCGGCACCA
rnacentral:tRNA from 1 species